GAGAAGUUGGACAGGAAAGACUCCAUAGUAAGAAAGCACUUGAGAGACACAAGAAAGGAAGAAGAGAAGGCUCAUACCUUGGUAAAUGUUUCAGACAGGAAGAAUGACAAGAAAGGUUCAAUAGCAAGAACAUUUCCAGACUGUUCACACAAGCUUGUGAAGGGGACAAGAAGACUGAAGGAAACGAGGCCAAACAGGCCAGUCCACUGCGCAUUGUAGACCAUGAUGGCGCAGCAGAGCAGCCUAAUUACACAGUGUGCACAAUCAGGAGCGGUGCCUGGGACAGGACGUGACAGAUGGUCAGUCAGGACUAGAUAAAGAAACUGAGGCUGAGAGGGAAAAUGCUCUGCACAGCAGCAACAGCAAAGCCAGCCUUCACAGCUGCCCAACUGGCUAGCCAAACACCUGCACUCCAGAUGUUUAGGAUGGACUUGAUGAGAUAAGGCCUACAUAUGGGGAAAGUUAAAAAAAAAACAAACCUCAUGUAAUACAAGUGCAGCCCCCAGGCAACCUAGGAAUCUAGAGACACAAAAGUGCCCGGUUUGCAGGAAGCAGAGUGUGUCUGGGGUUGGGGUGUACAGGAACAUUCUGCAGAAGCCUCCAGUGCACAUGACUCCCCCUGCCUCACUGAAGUCACCCUGCUGACCCUCAUUUGUACCAAACCUUUGAGUUCACAGUGUUCCUUCUUCUUAGACCUUCCUAUGGAAUUACUAUGGAAUUAAUGCAGUCUCUGAGUAUGAAUACUUCUGAGUAUUAA